GUUGAACUCAGGGAGAUCUAUCACUGAACUAUAUCCACAGCUCUUUUUAAAAGAAAUUAUUUUCAGAUAGGUUCUCAAUAAUUUACUGAGGGUGGCUUUGAACUUGUGAUCCUCUCUAGCUUCUGCCUCCUGAGUCGCUGGGAGGCAUGUGCCACCACACCCAGCUCAUUCACUCAUUCUUUUAUUAUGCAUAUGACUUCUGCCCAGUACCAAGCAUUCUGAUAUCCUGGGGCCACAGAGAGGAGUAAGAGGCUCUCCAUUCUUAAGGGACUGAGCACAACAAGAUUCAGACACCUAAAUGGAUGAUGACAAUCGCACUUACAAAGCAACACAGAGGCAGCCUUAGCAACUAAUGGCUUUUACAUCUGGAAAGGGAGAAGAGAACAAAAUAUUUGGCCAAUGACUCAAAUCUUUCCACGUCAUCUAGCCUCCGAAAGAUCACCUAUGAGACACUUCAGUUUUAGAACUGUAGAAGUUAAAUAAAGCUUUAUGGAUUUCUGGAUACAUUCUGCUGUCCCCCAGAUCAAUACAGCAGGACUCAUAGUAUCCCUCAGACUGUGAAGACAACCUGGACCCAGGAUGGCUAGCUACGCAGGUAUGUC